GUUUUCCUCACCCUGAACCUAUCCUUCUUUCAAGACUAAUGCAUUUCGUGUGUGAACUGUGAGGCCACCUUGGAUCAAAUCUUAACAGAAAGUGUUAGGUUUAGAGCGACAAGGGCAAGUCUCAUGAGUGUCUAGUUCCAACAUCAAGGGACUAUUAGGUCUAGGCUGUGAAUAAAUGUGGGGGAGAGGUGUCUUUGAGCGAGAAUCUUGUGAGUAUAGAUCUUUGAGAGAAAAUAAAAGAGUG
rnacentral:lncRNA from 1 species